rnacentral:lncRNA from 1 species
GUUGAACAGAGACGUCUUCUUCUGGUCCAUAUUACAAGAAAAGUUUUCUUUCUUGGGAGAUUUUCCUUCCUUAAAAAGCCAUUGGGCGAAGAAGAACCUAUUAGUUGAGAAACAAUAACUUUGCAAAGUAUGUCUGGCAAGAUGUUUAUAAACAGGGAUAAAUGAAUGUCGGAUUCAGGAGGACGAAAAAUACUUUGAUACAUAGAAAAAUAAUUUUCAUACCAUGAAAAAUGAAAUGGACUUGGG